rnacentral:misc_RNA from 1 species
GCCGUGACCAAUCGCCGGUGAGUAUCUCCAAAACCACGGCAAACGGCAAUUUUUUUUACCUUGUUCGGAAUUCUUCCGGCGGAGCAUCGCCGGAGAUAUUUGAAUACUGACACACUUGUUUUGAGCCUGUAGAAGAAUCAAAACUGAAAAAAAGCGAGGAAAGAGCAUUAACAGAGUAAUGGAUCGGUUAGUAGCAGCAAAGGAGCUAUCUUUUCGAAUAGGGUUUACUGGACACAGUGGUCACCUCACGAUCGAGCCUCUCCCUCCUGUUGAACGCGAUACUCCUCUCAAUUCUAUUCCUGACUUCAUUUU